rnacentral:rRNA from 1 species
CAGUCGCCGCGGUAAUACGAAGGGUGCAAGCGUUAAUCGGAAUUACUGGGCGUAAAGCGUGCGUAGGCGGUUUGUUAAGUCUGCUGUGAAAUCCCCGGGCUCAACCUGGGAAUGGCAGUGGAUACUGGCAAGCUAGAGUGUGUCAGAGGAUGGUGGAAUUCCCGGUGUAGCGGUGAAAUGCGUAGAGAUCGGGAGGAACAUCAGUGGCGAAUGCGGCCAUCUGGGACAACACUGACGCUGAGGCACGAAAGCGUGGGGAGCAAACAGGAUUAGAUACCCCUGUAGUCCCUGUCUCUUAUAC